rnacentral:misc_RNA from 1 species
GAAGAAAUCAAAUCAAAUUGAUAUUACACAAAAAUAAACCUAUUUCAACUAGUAAUCCUGUUUGGAAGAACCUACUGAUCUUCUGAAUGCCCACAAACUAGAUGUAUGUUGUAACAAAAACAAUUUAUAGAUGUGAACUCAUCUAGAACUGCCUAGGGCAUUCUACACUAACACAUCAACUUAAUAAAUAAAAGAAUUUCAUAUUGUGAACUCUAACUCUGAUCAUAUUAGCACAUAACUCUUUCUGCAUGCAUGUCACCAUCCUUGCUGGCCUAGAAAUGCUGUAGACCCCUCUCAAAAAACUCUUUUGCACAAUUCACUUCCUCAUGUGCUCAGGAAUAAGGCGCUGUCUCAGUUCAGUGGGUGCACCAGAAAGUUCUUGAGGUGUGAAGUUGAAUAGAAGUGGCAAAGGUCGUCCAUUAGGCAAGCAAGCAUUUGGUUUUCUCAGAUCAUCAAAGAAAGGGUGUGCACAUGCCUCCAAAGCAGUACAUCGGAGAGUUGGUGAAUACUGCAGCAACCUUGAGGCCAGAUCUACAGCUUCACGGGGUAUUUUUCUUUGAAAUAUCUUGUGCCACGGGUGAGCUUUGAUUUGAGGGAACUUGAACUCUGUAUAGUUUGGAUUCAUGCACCUAAUUUCCUCUCUAGUUGGUGUCCCCAAAAUCUUGAUGAUCUCCAC